rnacentral:ncRNA from 1 species
GAUAACACGUUGAUGGAGAAAGGUCGAUUUUGAGCUUUCAGAGAGCCGGUGGUCGCUGCGAACCGGCAGCUUGGAAAUUGCAAACCUAGCCCUCCAGAGUGCUGUGCUGAAGCUUCAGUAGGCCAGCCGGUUGAAAUCCGUUAUCAUUUCUGUCGCAAGACAUGGAGGCCGUCUCUGUAAGGAUUCGGCGAAUAAGGGUGGCACCACGAACAGUCUCGUCCCUUAC